rnacentral:rRNA from 1 species
UACGGGGGGGUGAAGCGUUGUUCGGAAUUACUGGGCGUAAAGGGCUCGUAGGCGGCCAACUAAGUCAUACGUGAAAUCCCUCGGCUUAACCGGGGAACUGCGUCCGAUACUGGGCGUCUCGAGUGUGGUAGGGUAUGCGGAACUGAUCGGUGGAGCGGUGAAAUGCGUUGAUAUCGAUAGGAACUCCGGUGGCGAAGGCGGCUCACUGGUCCAUUACUGACGCUGAGGUGCGAAAGCGUGGGGAGCAAACAGG